rnacentral:sRNA from 1 species
GAGUUGUCUGUGAUACACAGUGUGAUGGGUGAACUUUUGUGGCCGUAUCGUGUCAAAGAAUGCACAGACAGUCAGAUACCGUGAUACGUGAUAGAAAGUCAGGAUUUUAAGACGCAAUGAGGUAGCCUACUAUAGCAUCAACCGAAACGUAGGCCUAGCCAGAGUCAGAGCACACAGGUCUACCAUCA